UUAACAACCCUAGAAACAAAAGUUAUCUAUUUAUCCACAGAAUGUUAAAGGCACGGACAGUAUCAGUACGAGCUUCCCAUCACUGUCCUGCUAAUGUGCCUCACCACCAACCUGGAGGGACAGUUUAGGGGUGAAAGGAAAUUCAUUCUCCAUUCCCAUUAAGUCCUGGUCCUU
rnacentral:sRNA from 1 species